UAUUCGGAAUUUUGGUGGUUUUUUUAUAUGAAAGCGGCAAGAGUAUUGUCGAAUAUAUUAGAAGGCAGAAAAAUAUAAUACAAGCAUUACACAUUGUCUAUUACAAUUUUGGCAAGGACAUGCAAUUUAGGAAUUUUGGUGUUGAUCUGUAGCACGCUGUUUCUGAAUGAUCACGCUUACUCCCAGUUUGGUCUGAAUGCGGAUCUCUCAGCGCGGUAAAUUUCCUUGAAUUUCAUCAGGCUGGAUAGUUCAACCAGGAAGUUCUGGAAUGGCUCCCCAUUGUCAGGACUCAUAAUCAUACCAUGGAAAGCCAAUGUGAUCCGUCGGAGUGAUGUGGCUGACCUAAGUAGGCUUCUCAAAAACACAAAUUCAAUCUUUGUUCGAUUCCUCUCAUGCUUUUGAUUGUUAUGUCCACAAGAAAAUUCAGCUGGAUAUCUUCAGUUCUCCACAGAUGCAAUCAAAUGGGCAAUCAAUAAUCUUAGCCUGAAAUGAGGAUAAUAUGUAAAGACUAGGUUGAAAUGGCGGUCAGGCCGAAAUGAAAGAUUAAGAGAAGUAGAAAUGUGAGUUAGAGAUAAAUUGCUAGAGUAUAAUUUGACCAUUAAACUUAUGAACAAAAAAUGCAGAAUGGUUUCGUCAUCCUUGGGGAAACCUCAUAUUAGGAAAAACAAAUUUACCUCCGGGUCACCACUUAUUGCCAACUCCAGCCUACUUAUUCUUGUACACACAUCUUGAGCAGAUAAAAUACACAUGAUCCAAAGGCAUGCCCUUGCAACAUAAUUUCUAGGGUCAGGGUCUCAAUAUCGGGAAGAAAGCCAAUCAUCUCCAUCAGGUUUUUAUUAAUAAUUCAGCAACACAUGCAGCCUUUGGAUUUGAUGAAUUUCGGGAGGAUUUUUUUUACAAAGAUUGAAUUAAUUCAUGAGAAAAUAGUGUAAAAUUUCAUAGGAUUUUCAUCGACAUUAGUUCGAUUCUCACAGAACAAACACUGAAAAUUCCUCCAUUCAUUCCAAAGAAGGUUUUAUUCUGGGAUAAGGGAGAACAAGCGUCCAUGGCAUCAGCCACACAAAGAAGUUUAAUGGCAAAAAUGGGGGUAAAAAAUAAUUGGAUGUUUAGCAGAAGCGAACAAUUCCCAUUCAACACACCAUCUGAAAAACGGAGUUGUUGUCAACUGUAGCAUAGGAAGAGUCCUAGACAGAUGCUGAAAAAACCAAAAACUUGGGUUUUGUUUCCCCCUCCAUUGGCCUAUCCAGCGAUCAAAAUUGAGCUAUGGAAAAAAAUGCUCACCUAUACUGUCCGCGCGAGGGAGGCGUGGGAGGGGCAGCGAGCAGCGAGCUAUCGGCCGCGUUCAUGGAUAAGGUUGAGGCCUUGUCUCUCUCUGAUGGGCUGCGCAAUAUGGCUCAACGAAG
rnacentral:lncRNA from 1 species